AUAUGAUCGCACUUAUAUGAAAUGCCCAGAAUAGGGAAAUCCGUAAAGACAGAAAGUAGAUUACCAGUUGUCUCUUGCUGAGAGGCUUAGGGAGAAAUGCGGAGUGACUGCUAACGGUUAUGGGGUUUCUUUUUGGGGUGAUGAAAAUGUUCUAAAAAUUGAUUGUGGUGAUGGUUGCACAACCUUGUGACUAUAUUAAAAAUAUUCACAUAGCAUACACCCAAAUACUUACCAGCCAGCUUAAAAAAUAGAAUAGUCCCGGGAACCUAGAUUCUCUCGUGUGUCCUCCCCGGUGGGGUUCCCCUCGCUUCUCCCAAAGGUAAUUCUGAACUUUAUGUUAAUCAUUCCAUUACUUUUCUUUCCACCUGUUGUUUUCUAGGUUUUUCAGUUGUUUGUUUGUUAGCCCGUUGUGGCCAGCCUGUUUGCAGUUGGCAAUGGCAUGUGAAUUACAUCUCAACAAAGCGGUUAUUAAAAAACAGAAGAUACUGCAGUGCACAACAGAUCCUCAUCACCUGAUCUGAGCUACAGAUAAUGCAAGCUGCCGUGUCAAAAGGAGAAGCCCACAUGGUGACGAACAGAGGCCUCCAGCCAACAGCCAGCAAGGAGCUCAAGCCUUCUGCUGGCAGCCACGUGAGUGAGCCUGGAAGCGGAGCAUCCAGCCCCAGGCCAGCCUUUGGAUGACUGCAGCCUGGCGGACAGCUGGACUGCAGCCUCAGGACAGAUCCUGAGCCUGAUCCACCACCUAAGCCACUUCUGAAUUCCUGACUCACAGAACUGGCAAGAUAAUAAAUGCUUCUUGUUUUAAGUCACUAA